GAGGUUGUGGCUCAGUGGUAGAGUACUCCCCUGGCAUGGGUGAGGCACUGGGUUCAAACCUCAGAACCACA
rfam:Ictidomys tridecemlineatus contig009403, whole genome shotgun sequence.